rnacentral:misc_RNA from 1 species
AAGAAAUCAUUUUGAUGGCAUGAGAAGGUUGCGGUUAGAGUGGCGAUCGAUUUCUAUGCCACCCUCGUCUUCAUUAUCGUCAAACUGGCGGACCGCGUUGGUGUUGAAGAUUCAAUACGCUGAUUCCGCAAUGAAAAGAGGUAGGGAUAAGGUUUGCAGAAACCAUCCUCUUGAGAGCAAUUGAGGACGCCAUUGCUUGGAGAUUAGAAAAUGAAGCGCUAAUCUUUUGGUGGGUAAUUGUGAAUUCAAUGGGUGAGCAGAGACGAAGAUGGGAGUUCUUUAAUAUGGGCUAUAUGAAGGUGAUACUGGAUUGAGGAGAAAGAAAUUUGACGCUAUCACCGGGCUAUAGAUGGCCUUCUCUCACUUUGGUUCAACUUUUCAUAUCAAUAUAAUGACCAAAUAUUAAUUAUGUUCAAGGGCGAGCCGAUAGCUAGUUGUCUAACAGUGUAUCUCAUUGAGUGCUAUAUAGGAAUUGGGAGAUUCAACUCUUUGGAGAUGCAUUAUACAAAAGUUCACCUAAAACCAAUAAAGCAGCUCUGGGAAGAUUUUGACUCUAGACAACGAGCUAGGAAGCUUGCGGGUGAGAAGAAUGAAUUGGAAAGUCUAUCAGUCAAUAGUGAUUUCCCUACAAUAUUAUUCUCAAGUUGGUUGCCAAGUUU